GCCAUUUUCCCCCCGAGAGCAGCCUUGGAAAUGGCAGAGGCUGUUCUAAGCUGGGGCUGCAGGGGAGAAUUGCUGCCAUUCCUGGUGUCAGCUCAGCGGGGAACGGAAGGUGAGGCACACCUGGGGCAGGUGUGGCUUCUCCAUCCCCAGCCUGGUUUUAGAGAUGGCAUCACUGAACACAGUCUGCUUCGAAGGUCUUGUGGUUCCAGGCCCCUAAAGAGGAACAGCCAAGUCCCCGCAGCAGAGCGACCACCUCACUGCACUCAUGUCAACACCUGACAAGGAGAUGCCGAGAGGGAGGAGAUGGUCAAGAAAGGAAAGACUACAGCUGAUCACUUGGCAUGAUCCAAGACCCUGAGACCCUUACCCGGAAUUUUCACCUUUUAAAAACCCCUGCUUGUAAGCCAGUGGGGAAUUUAGGACUUUAAGCACUAGCUCCCUGUUCUCCUGGGUAUAGCCAGUACCAAUAAAUAGCCAUUUUUUCUUACUCCAAAAAACAAAGCCAAACCAAGCCAAACUUGCCCCUUCCCCCAAACAAACAACCAACUGAACAAAUAAAAACAAAAAACCCCAAAGACCACAGAAUUCAAAAAGGGUAAAAGGGUACAGACUGAAAGGCCUCCUGACAGCCUCUACUAGUAACUUCCAUCUUGACUCCAUUCACACACUCUGUUCCCAGGAUCACCCGCUGGUGAUUAACAGCCUCUAGAACUUCAUCCUCUCUGAAAUUCGAAAUGCCCUGGUACCAUUCUCAGAUGUCUCCCUAGGGGUUGGGGGUGCAGCAAGUAUACCUGCCCCACUCCCCAGGGAGGCCUCUGGGAAUCUCUUGCAUCUUGUUUCCCCCUUUCUCACGUGCAGCACUCAGCUGCUCUAUAUUUAAAAGGGGCACACUUCAGUUGCGUUGGGGAGGGGGCUUUGUGGACCUGGAAGAGCCCCUGCCCCCACCGAGAUGCCCUUCCUACCUGCCCACUCUCCUGAGUCCCCUAACCCUCUCCCGGUCACUGUCCUUCUCUCAGCAGAGGAGCGUGCUCUCCUUCACACCCCAGACGUCCCUUCCUUCACUCAUCCUUAUUCCCCUUUCCUUAAUGUCAGGGCCUGUUAAAGCCCUUCCAUCCUUCCUGUACCCCGCUCUCAAUCUUGCUCUAUUUCUUGUCCUCCUGGGCUUUAUACUUGUCCCUUUACUUUAAACCCAGACAAAUCUUUGCUGCAUUAAGAGAAAAAAACCUUCCUUCAGUCUGGUCCCUCUUGGCCGCCACACUUCCCCUUCCCCUUCCCAGCGCAACCAGCAUUGGGAUGUUUACCCUCCUUGACUCUCUUCUCACUCCUCCUCUCUUCUAAGAACAUGUAAUGUGAAUACAUAUACACAUUGAAGAACCUAUAAAAUGAGAUGUAUAGUUAAAGACCAAUGAAACAGAAUACCUGGGUAUCUGACUGUAGUUUAAGAAAUAAAUUCCAGGGGGCUCCUGGGUGGCUCAGUUGGUUAAGUGUCCAACUUUGAUUUUGGCUGAGGUCAUGAUCUUGAGGUUCAUGGGUUCCAGCCUGGAGUCUGGCUCUGCACUGGUGAUAUGGAGCCUGCUUGGGACUCUCUCUUUCUCUGUCACUCUCUCUUCCCCUUCCCUGCUCUUGUUCUUUCUCUCUCAAAACAAAGAAACAAACAAAAAUAAAUUCCCAGGACCUUAGAUCCUUUUAGUCUCCACACUGACUGCAUCUCUCUUCCUUUCUGCAGGGUGACCAUUACCCUGAAUUUCUCAAAUUUAGAUCCAUUUCCUGUCUUGAAAUUUCCUUUAUCUGUGCAUUUUUGGUAUCCCUAAAUAGCAUGCUGUUUAGCCUUGUGCGUAAGAUCUUCACAUAGAUGGAGUCGUCGUUUAUGUGUUUUUUUAACUUGUUCUGAUUUUGUUGAUUUGUAUAAUUGCAACCUUCUUUCUAUUGCUUGCUCACACAUCAGUUAAUCCUUUGUCUUGUUGAUGAACAUUUGCGUUAUUUAAACUGGUUACUUAAACAAUGCUGCUGUGAGGCCUCUUUUACUCAUCUCUGGGUAUGACAUAUAAUUUCUAGGGCAGCAGGCUUCAAACUAGGGACAUGUAUUCCUUUAGUGCGAGAGGACUGCCCAAGGGGUAGGUGGGCCUGGAUAGAUGUAAGGGUACCCUUCUCAGAUCGGACUCUCUCAAAAGGCGUAGGGGUGCUGAUGGACCUGAAGAGGCCCCUAUGAAGAAGAAGCGUGUGUCCCCAUUCCCUUGCCCAACCCUCCCUUACCAUGAACCUAGCCCCCAGGGGGAAUCAGGAGGGUGAAAAUAUCAGGGCACCAAAGGGACAAUUCCAAAAUCUAUGUUGGUUCUGAGAAACUGAGUGACCUAGUGACAUCAUUCUAUAAGUCAGCCACUUUCUCCGUCAUUUCAACAAAGUUACGUGCACUCACCAUUUUACCCUUUUUAUUAUUGAGGUGAAAUCUACAUAACAUACAAUUAAC
rnacentral:lncRNA from 1 species